ensembl:lncRNA
UGCGGAAGAAGUCGGUAUCACAUAGAGACAUUUUCAAAACGAAUUUGUCAGAAUAGCUCAGCUAAUAGUAUUGCCUGAAAAGUUAUCAACUCGGUAGCUGGGACUGUGUUAGGCUAACUGGCUUGGUCAACCAAUGAGUUGCCUCUGAGGAACAAGACUGCGAGACUAACCGGAAGAAGACAGCUUGCUGUUUGAACUGAUACGCGAACUACAGCAUCGCGUGAGCAACUGCAUACACCGAGAGCGCCUGAGCAGGGCUGCAGUGACGGUGCAUGGACCCUCUCUGGGCACGGACAUCCCCAUCAACCUCAAUUGGCCAGCCGAAGUCAGCGAGCUCCGCGCUUUCUCCUCUCCUCUAGUGGUGGUAUCCUUCACUGACUGCUGUGCUCAAUUUUGGGGUGCUGUGUCAGUUGAAUAUUCAGAGGUGGUUGCGGUGUGCUUUUGAGUAGGAGAUUACAGGUGACCCUUGUCGUGGGUGAUUAUGAGUGCUGACCCAAGUCUGGUGUGGUACGUGUAUCUUCUUUGUCUAUCUUACUGCACUCUGGGGUGAUCAAUGCACAGCUACAGCUGGUUGAAGGGGACCAAAUCCAUAGAACAGUUGAUUUGGUUCCAUUUUACCAGCUUUAGCAAAGCAUUCUGUGAUGAGGGGGACAGUAGUGCUGGAGCUCACAUCCACAGUCAGAAUCUGUAAAGGACAGCAGAGAGGAAAAGCUGAUCAGAUCAUCGCUUUGGUAAGUAACAAGUUCAAUGCUUUAUUAUUUUGCCGUCAAUACACUUGUAGCACCUCAAAGACUCUUAACAAAU